CCUACGGGAGGCAGCAGUGGGGAAUAUUGCACAAUGGGGGAAACCCUGAUGCAGCGAUGCCGCGUGAGCGAAGAAGUAUCUCGGUAUGUAAAGCACUAUCAGCAGGGAAGAAAAUGAUGGUACCUGUCUCAGAAGCCACGGCUAACUACGUCCCAGCAGCCGCGGUAAUACGGCGGGGGCAAGCGUUAUCCGGAUUUACUGGGUGUAAAGGGAGCGCAGGCGGCGGGGUAAGUCUGAUGUGAAAGCCCGGGGCUCAACCCGGGGACUGCAUUUGAAACUGGCGUGCUGGAGUGUCGGAGGGGCAAGUGGAAUUCCUAGUGUAGCGGUGAAAUGCGUAGAGAUUAGGAGGAACACCAGUGGCGAAGGCGGCUUGCUGGACGACGACUGACGCUGAGGCGCGAAAGCGUGGGGAGCAAACAGGAUUAGAUACCCCGGUAGUC
rnacentral:rRNA from 1 species